GUCAAAUUUAGACUUGGGGACUCCAGCAUUAUCUAGUUCCUUCAUAAUUCAAAAUAAAGCUCUGAAGCUCCAAAUAAUAUUCCAGGAAAUUUCGAUUGAUACUGCACCCAUUCGAAUGUUCGGAUACAUAACGAGCGGAGAAAAUUGUGUUCCUACCACAUCAUUUAAUGGAAGUUCAGUUGCAAUCGAUUUCUCAGACCAAUCUCCUGGAGAUACUUACACAGUGUGUGUGAUGUUCAGAAACAAGGAAUGCUCUGCAAUCAAUUCCACUACUGUGACUGUUCCAGCUACGAUGAUUACCGUACAAGAAGUUAGGCCAUCUGGUUCUAGUUAUACGAUACGUUUGUCCCUCCCCUUCAUCGACUACCCUCCCGUGACCUGCUCAUUGUCUCCACCCUCUCCCCCCCUCAUUCGGACCCAAUUACCCUCCCCUUCCCGUACACAACCAACCAAAUCACAGUGACCUUCAUCGACAUCACUGCUGGAGUCUUCUACACCUACACAAUUAGAAUUAUUCUGGCCAGCAACCAAUCAAAUGAUGUCGUUUUUCCAGUCACUGGAAAUUUCAUAUUGGCUCUACAUGUAUUAGGAGAAUCUGUGCAGUCCCUCUCUACUGGUGAAGCAGUGGCAGUCAUUAUGGCAGCUACAUUCACUAUUUCCAUAGCGAUUGGACUCUUGCUGGGGAUGUCUCUAAUGUACUGCAUUAUGUACUACAGGAAUAGGGGACACUACGCAGUAAGACAGCGACAAGAAGAAAGCAUUCAACCCACUGUACCAAGUGGUCCUGUUUACGAAGAAGUUACUCCUAUCCAAGAACAAAUUGAGCUGAAACCGAAUGAAGCAUACGGACCAUUAUAAAACUGUACUAGUCUGGAAACCUAAACUCUUUGUAUUUGUGCACCACAAUAAUUAUGUGCGUAAAAAGUAGAAGCAUAUAUUAUAUACAUUUGCAUUGUUUGGUAGAUUAUUAU